GACGAACGCUGGCGGCGUGCUUAACACAUGCAAGUCGAACGGAAAGGCCCUGCUUUUGUGGGGUGCUCGAGUGGCGAACGGGUGAGUAAUACGUGAGUAACCUGCCCUUGACUUUGGGAUAACUUCAGGAAACUGGGGCUAAUACCGGAUAGGAGCUCCUGCUGCAUGGUGGGGGUUGGAAAGUUUCGGCGGUUGGGGAUGGACUCGCGGCUUAUCAGCUUGUUGGUGGGGUAGUGGCUUACCAAGGCUUUGACGGGUAGCCGGCCUGAGAGGGUGACCGGCCACAUUGGGCCUGAGAUACGGCCCAGACUCCUACGGGAGGCAGCAGUGGGGAAUAUUGCACAAUGGGCGGAAGCCUGAUGCAGCAACGCCGCGUGCGGGAUGACGGCCUUCGGGUUGUAAACCGCUUUCGCCUGUGACGAAGCGUGAGUGACGGUAAUGGGUAAAGAAGCACCGGCUAACUACGUG
rnacentral:rRNA from 1 species